AACAGGAUUAGAUACCCUGGUAGUCCACGCCGUAAACGAUGAGUGCUAGGUGUUGGGGGGCUACGCCCCUCAGUGCCGAAGGUAACCCAUUAAGCACUCCGCCUGGGGAGUACGGCCGCAAGGCUGAAACUCAAAGGAAUUGACGGGGGCCCGCACAAGCGGUGGAGCAUGUGGUUUAAUUCGAAGCAACGCGAAGAACCUUACCAGGGCUUGACAUCCCGCUGACCCCUCCAGAGAUGGAGGUUUCCUUCGGGACAGCGGUGACAGGUGGUGCAUGGUUGUCGUCAGCUCGUGUCGUGAGAUGUUGGGUUCAGUCCCGCAACGAGCGCAACCCUUGUCGUUAGUUGCCAGCAUUUCGGAUGGGCACUCUAACGAGACAGCCGGUGAAAGCCGGAGGAAGGUGGGGAUGACGUCAAAUCAUCAUGCCCCUUAUGUCCUGGGCUACACACGUGCUACAAUGGCUGGUACAAAGGGCAGCGAACCCGCGAGGGGGAGCCAAUCCCAAAAAGCCAGUCUCAGUUCGGAUCGCAGGCUGCAACUCGCCUGCGUGAAGCCGGAAUCGCUAGUAAUCGCGGAUCGGCAUGCCGCGGUGAAUACGUUCCCGGGCCUUGUACACACCGCCCGUCACACCACGAGAGUUUGCAACACCCGAAGUCGGUGAGGCAACCUUUUAGGAGCCAGCCGCCGAAGGUGGGGCAGAUGAUUGGGGUGAAGUCGUAACAAGGUAACC
rnacentral:rRNA from 1 species